rnacentral:rRNA from 1 species
AACGCGAAGAACCUACCCUUGACAUGCCACUAACGAAGCAGAGAUGCAUUAGGUGCUCGAAAGAGAAAGUGGACACAGGUGCUGCAUGGCUGUCGUCAGCCCGUGUCGUGAGAUGUUGGGUUAAGUCCCGCAACGAGCGCAACCCUUGUCUCUAGUUGCUACGAAAGGGCACUCUAGAGAGACUGCCGGUGACAAACCGGAGGAAGGUGGGGAUGACGUCAAGUCCUCAUGGCCCUUAUGGGUAGGGCUUCACACGUCAUACAAUGGUGCAUACAGAGGGUUGCCAAGCCGCGAGGUGGAGCUAAUCCCAGAAAAUGCAUCGUAGUCCGGAUCGUAGUCUGCAACUCGACUACGUGAAGCUGGAAUCGCUAGUAAUCGCGGAUCAGCAUGCCGCGGUGAAUACGUUCCCGGGUCUUGUACACACGC